rnacentral:rRNA from 1 species
ACAGUUUACAGCCCUGAGGACACCUGAUCUCCUCUGAUCUAGGAAGCUAAGCAGGGUCGGGCCUAGUUAGUAUUGGAUGGGGACCACCUGGGUCUUAGGGUGUCUGUA